rnacentral:rRNA from 1 species
AAACCAAGAAGAUUGAGUCAUGCAUUUUUGGUAAAAAGACAGUUAAGCGCUUUAAAGCUUGUUUAAUUAUUAUUAAGAAGUAAAAUUCGCAAAUAAUCUAGAAACUUAGUCAAGGCUAAAAAGCUGAAGCUGUGACAUCCUUGAGGGAAACUGGGAUUAGAUACCCCACUAUUCUUGGAAGUAAAAAAAUAUACAUAUAUUUACCAGAGUACUAUGGAUCAAUGAUAUUUAAAACUCAAAGAGCUUGGCGGUGUUUUAGACUCUUUAGGGGAACCUGUCUCAUAAUCGACAAUCCACGUAAAACCUGACCUUUAUUUGCUAUCAGUUUGUAUACCGUCGUCGUCAGGUAACUUUUUAGAAUAAAGAAGUUAGCGAGAGAACUUAAUAUAAGUUCUUACGUCAGAUCAAGGUGCAGCCAAUAUAGAGGGGAGGAUGGGUUACAAUUAUAAUAAUCAUAAUCACGAAAUAACAAUUUUAAAUAUUAGUUAUGAAGGAGGACUUAAAAGUAAAAUAAGAUAUACAAAUGUAUUGAAUCGAGCUCUGAAACGUGC